GUAGGUGAACCUGCGGAAGGAUCAUUACUGAGGAACUCGCAUCGCUGUUUGCUGGCCUUCGGGCAUGUGCACGCGUUGCUCCUUCUAUCUUACACCUGUGAACUUAUCGGAGAGACGCAAGUCUCUUUUCAUAUAACCACAUUGAUAAUUCAGAACGCAUUUGUGAUAAACUAAAACAACUUUCAACAACGGAUCUCUUGGCUCUC
rnacentral:misc_RNA from 1 species